UACGUAGGGUGCGAGCGUUGUCCGGAUUUAUUGGGCGUAAAGAGCUCGUAGGCGGUUUGUCGCGUCGGCCGUGAAAUCUCCACGCUUAACGUGGAGCGUGCGGUCGAUACGGGCAGACUUGAGUUCGGUAGGGGAGACUGGAAUUCCUGGUGUAGCGGUGAAAUGCGCAGAUAUCAGGAGGAACACCCGGUGGCGAAGGCGGGUCUCUGGGCCGAUAACUG
rnacentral:rRNA from 1 species